AUUUCAUGAUGGGGAUAUUGUCUAAGCACCUAUUUGAAUCUUUCCCAAGCGUCAAAUAAGGAUUCAUCAUCUCUUUGUCUAAAUGAAGUAAUCUCAUUCCUCAUCUU